rnacentral:rRNA from 1 species
CCCUUAGACGUUCUGGGCCGCACGCGCGCUACACUGACCAGUGCAACAAGCAUCCGUCCUUGGCCGACAGGCCCGGGCAAUCUUUGAACGCUGGUCGUGAUGGGGAUAGACUUUGGCAAUUUUUGGUCUUCAACGAGGAAUUCCUAGUAAACGCAAGUCAUCAACUUGCAUUGAUUACGUCCCUGCCCUUUGUACACACCGCCCGUCGCACCUACCGAUUGAAUGGUCCGGUGAAGCCUCCGGAUUGGCGCGCACCUCGGUGCCGCCGAGAAGUUGGCUAAACCUUACCAUUUAGAGGAAGGUGAAGUCGUAACA